AGCGGGCCGUGUGUCCAUGCAUGUGUUUACUUCUUGUUUGAAGCCCGAAGCGGCCCUGGAAACUGCAGACAGAGCUGGUGACGAGUUCUUCACCCAAGAGAGAAGCCAGAAGAAUCAUGUGUCUGGCCGUGGUGUUUAGGCCUACACGGCUGUCCAGGGAACAAUCAAAAACACCCACAUAGCUAUCACACUGAACGGAUAUGGCAGAGGCGGGGACACAAGUGUGACAAGGGCAGUGAAGGCCAACUUUAGACACCUGUGUCUUGGUGCCUCCAGGACCCUAACUCCCACAGCCCUGGUAACCCAACAGAACCUGAGUGACUCCAGGAAAUGGACGCCCAAUGGUUUUUCUGUUCAAGAAAUGAAACUCAGCCUCUACCCACAUCCUCCACCAAAACCAGGGCUUCCAUGUUGCCAUAACAACAGCUCUGGUAAGCUGGGCAGUUCAGGAGCCUCAGGAGUAGAGACUGUGUCUGGUUUCUGGAUGGCACUUAUCUCUGAAGGCAUCAGACUUCACUUUCUUUC
rnacentral:lncRNA from 1 species